AGUUUUACCCUGAUGGGAACCAUCAAGCAGAACCUUCUGGACCUGUACUUCCGAGUUCACUAGGGCUGGGAGAACUCAGCCCAGGGAUCAGCAACGCAUGUACGAGUCUCUCCAGAAGAGGCAAAACACUGACUGUAUGCUCUACAACUAACUAAUCUUCAGUUUGCAGAAGAGGAAACUAAAGGACAGGAAGUUGGCUGAUUCCUACAAUGAGCAGAAGUUACAGCAAAGGUCAAUGCCAGGACUGAGUUCCCUGUUUUUCUCACUCACAUUCUUUAAGUUGGUACCUGGGCCCCUGGUGCAGGAUGGGUUCUUCAUAAACCUUUAUUAAAUAAGUGUUCAAUAAAUCAAUACUCAGUUUUCUCCAUUGUAAA
rnacentral:lncRNA from 10 species